UUGCACGCUGGCGGAAUGCUUUACCCAUGCCAUUCGAGCGGCAGCACGGGGGCAACCCUGGUGGCGAGCGGCGAACGGGUGAGUAAUACAUCGGAACAUGCCCAGUCGUGGGGGAUAACACUUCGAAAGAAGUGCUAAUACCGCAUACGUCCUGAGGGAGAAAGCGGGGGAUCGCAAGACCUCGCGCGAUUGGAGUGGCCGAUGCCAGAUUAGCUAGUUGGUGGGGUAAAGGCCUACCAAGGCAACGAUCUGUAGCUGGUCUGAGAGGAUGAUCAGCCACACUGGGACUGAGACACGGCCCAGACUCCUACGGGAGGCAGCAGUGGGGAAUUUUGGACAAUGGGGGCAACCCUGAUCCAGCCAUUCCGCGUGAGUGAAGAAGGCCUUCGGGUUGUAAAGCUCUUUCGGCAGGAACGAAACGGUGAGCUCUAACAUAGCUUGCUAAUGACGGUACCUGAAGAAGAAGCACCGGCUAACUACGUG
rnacentral:rRNA from 1 species